rnacentral:rRNA from 1 species
GCAGUUAAAAAGCUCGUAGUUGGAUCUCGGGUCCAGGCUGGCGGUCCGACGCCUGUCGGUUACUGCCUGCUCCUGACCUACCUCCCGGUUUUUUCGCCCUUGGUGCUCUUGACUGAGUGUCUCGGGUGGCCGGAACGUUUACUUUGAAAAAAUUAGAGUGUUCAAAGCAGGCAAUAUCGCCUGAAUAAUGGUGCAUGGAAUAAUGGAAUAGGACCUCGGUUCUAUUUUGCUGGUUUUCGGAGCUCGAGGUAAUGAUUAAGAGGGACUGACGGGGGCAUUCGUAUUACGGUGUUAAAGGUGAAAUUCUUGGAUCGCCGUAAGACGAACUACUGCGAAAGCAUUUGCCAAGCAUGUUUUCAUUAGUCAAGAACGAAAGUCAGAGGUUCGAAGACGAUCAGAUACCGCCA